rnacentral:rRNA from 1 species
CCUACGGGAGGCAGCAGUAGGGAAUCUUCCGCAAUGGGCGAAAGCCUGAUGGAGCAACGCCGCGUGGGUGAUGAAGGUCUUCGGAUCGUAAAACCCUGUUGUUAGAGAAGAACGUACGUGAGAGUAACUGUUCACGUUUCGACGGUAUCUAACCAGAAAGCCACGGCUAACUACGUGCCAGCAGCCGCGGUAAUACGUAGGUGGCAAGCGUUAUCCGGAUUUAUUGGGCGUAAAGGGCACGCAGGCGGUCUUUUAAGUCUGAUGUGAAAGCCUUCGGCUUAACCGGAGUAGGUCAUUGGAAACUGGGAGACUUGAGUGCAGAAGAGGAGAGUGGAACUCCAUGUGUAGCGGUGAAAUGCGUAGAGAUAUGGAAGAACACCAGUGGCGAAAGCGGCUUUCUGGUCUGUAACUGACGCUGAGGUUCGAAAGCGUGGGUAGCAAACAGGAUUAGAUACCCCAGUAGUC